UCAGUGAAAGUGGAACUAAAACGUACCUAGUGAUUAUAUUCUCUUUGAGUGGAACCACGGCUGCUAAAAAUGCCAUCUUGUAGCGUGUUUUCUUGUAAGAAGAGGUCGAAAACAUCAAGUUUACUAAAGGAUAACGUUACCUUUCAUCUGUAAGCAUUAUUACAUCAAAAGAUUGAGUAAUAAUACAACAAAUUUCAAUAUAUUACAAAGUAUUGUUGAUACUUGAUGCUAAAGUGCUGCCACAAGGCCGGUUGCAGAGCUUCACCGACCAUCAGUGCGUAGAUUUCCUAAAUAUGCAAUGUUUCGGCAUGUUUGGAUCCAAGCUUGUGGGAAUCACACAUCCUGGACUCCGAAACGGACUAGCACAAUUUGCUCAGAGCAUUUUGAUACCACCUGUUUUAUAAAACAAUCUAAUAAUAGGAGGAGAUUGAAACAGGAUGCUGUACCAACUUUGAAAUUACCAAAGGAUAAAGAUAAUGAACCUGAACCUGGAACGUUUUCACCUAAGAUAAUAAAGGUUGAAACAUUGGGAAAUUCUUCACUUCCUCAAAUUCAAGUGUUCAUAAGUACUCAAGAUCAGACACAUACGGCUCCGCCAGAAAAUCGUUACCCACAGUUGACUGAUUCACCAAUAAAUGCAAAGUUAAAAAAUACUAUACGGAUGAAAAAUAUAAAAAUAAAACAACUUCAAGCACAGAUAAGAUACUUAAAACAAAAAUAUGCUGAGAUGAAAGAAUUGGUUAAUGAAUUUUCACAGGCUGAACGUUGAACGCUGAAGUUAGCACGACUUGUGAUGGAAGCUUUUCACAUAGUUUGUGAAACUGGUGACAAAAUCAAAGCAUUAUCUUUGAGACGGCACUAAACCAAAUCUUGACAUGGCUGAAGGCGCUGUUGUUUAGAUGAAAACAAUUUAGAAGCAACAGACAUUAUUUCUUUUUAAUUUCCUGUCAUAUGCGAAAAUUUGAUUUUAAAGCAUUUGCUAAAAUUAAUUAAUUUUUUAUUUGAUAUCCUUGAUUCAUAAACUUGAGACAAAGAACUUAAACAAGCCGUGAAUUAAAAAAUUAACUAGGCUGUCUUUGCAAAAUAAGAUGAAGCAAAAGCAGUUGUUUCUGUUGAAUUUGGAGAAUGACGUUGAAAAUCAUGAAAUUGUUGAUUACUUAAUCAACAGGGUCAAUUUAUCAAAAAUGCUUCAAUAUACAGGAUUUCUUGUAGGAUUUCUUGUAUGUAUCGAAAAUUCAAAACGCCUAUUUGAAAACUUUCAAAUUUUCAAGACAAGAAUCAAUAGUGAUUCAGUGCAAUAAUAAUUAAUGUAAAUUUAUAUAAAUAAACUAUGUAAAUGAACGA